AAUGUCAAAAAUGUUAAUAUUUUAUUAGAAAUAUUAAUAAUUAUAUCACAAUCUUUGCAGGAGGUAAUUGAUUGGGAUCUCCUACCAGAAUAAACUUAUUUGCAUUGUAUAAUGGACCUAAAAUUGCUGGUUGCGUUACUUGAGUACUUUCAUCAACGAUACAUACAUCGAAUGUCCUUUUUUCAAAGACUAUAUGAUGAGCUCCAAAACAAGUAACUCCUACAAUCUUCUAAAAUAUAUAUGUAUAUAUAUAUAUAUAUUAAUAUAAAAAUCUGUACAUUUUUUUUCCAAUAAAAAAUUACUAGUACCUUA